AUAAUUUAUGAGAUGCAGUAGCAGAAAUCUUACAUCAAGUGUGGUGAUUUUCUGGUACUUGGAAGUUUAUCUUAUCCAUAUCUUUUGUUGUUUUCCUAUAGCUGACAAAUACUUACCGAUCAAAUAUGGGUGUUUUUUUUGUUUAUCUUGUUCUUGGUGUCGCUGAUGCUGAGAUUGACGCUUCUGCAGCCACUGUGAAAUUCUGAUAGGUUCAGCGGAAUACUAGAGAAAAUGCAGCGUUAUAUAAUGAUGCAUAAGAUGAUAAAUUGGCUUGAAUUUGAUCUAAUGACCACGACGAGAAGGACAGAAAAUUUCUUGCUGUCAAGUUUCUUGCUUUAAAAAAUUCAUACAACAUGGCUUUGAAAGCAAUAUAUUUCAGUCCAUUCCUACUGCAUUCCACAAAGCAAAAAUUUAUAGUUUAUGAUGAAUUCGCAUUGUAGAUUCAAAGGGACGAUGACCCUGAUAUUGAUAUUAGUUCUGUUACAUUGAAUGAGCCGACU